AUGUCCCUACGUAGACUCCGGUUCCCAUGCGCAGUGCGCACCCACCUGACGACUGCUCGCUACGUUUUGUUAGCC
rfam:Xanthomonas campestris pv. campestris str. ATCC 33913, complete genome.